AUGUGGUCCUUAUUUUCUUUGCUGAUAAUAAUGGCCCUUCUGCACGGCUCGACUGCCGAAGAUUCGGUGCUUCAGGAUCCGCCUGAACUGACUGUUCAGGAAGGUCAGAUAGUAACCCUGAACUGUAGUUACCCAGAAGCUGCUGAUACUCUCUUCUGGUAUAUGCAGUAUUCUGGCGAAUCUUUGAGAUAUUUGUUGAAAGAAUACAGCACGGGGAACGGUGGACAGCGGUCCCCGGAGUUCCCAGACCGAUUCUCGGCUGCUGUGAAGAAGGGAAGUAGGACGGUUCCUUUAAAUAUAUCUGGGGUUCAUGUCUCCGACUCCGCUGUAUAUUUCUGCUCCAUGACGCCCACACUGCCACGGAGCUCCAGAGGCCUCCGACAAAAACCGACCUGA